rnacentral:lncRNA from 1 species
GCACAGUGUAUGUUACAGAUUAAUCACUGCUGGCUUUCUAUGCACUUAAAUAACAGUAUCUACAACAUUUCAAAACACAAAUCUCAUUACGUUAUACUUGUCACACAAAUUCAGUUUUGGAUAUAUAUAUAUUUAUAUAUAUUUAUAUAUUUAGCAUUUUUUUUUCAAAGAAUCAGUGGUUUAUCAGAUUAUCUGACAGAAAGCUUUAAGGCAUUGUUCAGGCCAAAGGCAGUAAACACAUGGUUCGCUGGUUGAUUUUUUUAAAUGUCCUGUUAUCUUGAAAUGUUUUGAAACCGUCACUACGACAUUCUCUCUGUAACAGAGGUUUAAUGCUGGUUAUUUAGACAUUCCAGCAGUUCUGCACAUGCUGAUGUGUAUAGACUUGAUAUAUACAGGCAGGACUGCGAUGGGCCGUUGGGCUCUAUAAACCGAGACAAAGGAACGUGAAGAAAGGACUGAAUGAGAAAACCAGUGGUGUUACACAGCUGAUGUAAAUAGUGGGUUCAGGCACUCUCCAUGUGUACAUUCAAUCAAUGUGAAAAGCUGUUGUAACUCAUUGCUUAUUGACCAAGGUGGGCUAACCUGCUGCUGCUGCUGUUAUCUUCAGCUUGAACAGCAACCCAAAAGAAGGUGGUAGAUCUGAAUAAGCAAAACCACACCAUUAAGCUGUAGCCACUGACAUCUCAACGUGUGCCCUGUAUGUGCGAUCUAUGAUAAAAAUGCAAAGCCUUAGGUUGAUGCAUGUGAACAUGUAUCAAGGUCCCAGGGUUGUGUCUAAGAACAAACAUCAAUAUAUUUCCUUUAAGAGAAGAACAGACAGUGAGGUCUUUGUUAAUGGGUAUAGACAUCCAUAAAGGUUAUAGACUCUGAAAAGUACUUGUAUUGAGGUCUUUGGAUCAUGAGAACAUUCAAUAAAAUGUUUGGUUCAUGAGGAACCAAGGUCUUUGGUUUCUGCAUCAAGGUCUUUGGUUUUUGAAAAACACAAACAUCGAGGUCUUUGGUUCAUGAGUUAAGUCAUGUAUCAAGUCCAUAUACCAAGAUCUUUAAUUCCUGAAAGUUUGCAUGUAUUAAGUCUACGUUGCGUUAUGUUUAAAGGAGAUACAUUAUCCAGGACCCAUCACCAAUUUCUGAAUACAAUGAAAUAUAACACAGAGAAUUGUGAGCAUCCCGACCACUAGAUCAGUGUUAAGUAGAGAAUACAAAUAUAUAAUUUACUGAGUGGCUGUUCUAUUUUGUUUUUUGGUGAUCCAAUGCAUUUAUUCUUGUCUGAGCUGUCAUCCUGAGAUAUAUAUCAGACGUGUAGAUCGAGGAAGUAAUAGGUGAUGGACACAGAUUGUUUAAGGCAAAGAGAGAUAUUUUAUCCCCAGAAACGUAUUGUGUCAGAUUAUGUUUGUUCAUGAAGAACAUUCAGAUUCAGUCACAUUAUAAAUGGAGACCACAGCUGGAGGGAGGUGUUUGGUCAUAAAGCUCUAUAUAUAUGUUCUGUAGUGUGGCCCUGUGACAGGUGGAAGAAGCUGUGUACAAUUCUUUACUUUUUACUUUGCACAGUCAUGGCUCUUUAUCAUGACAUAGUGCAGGCUGUAUAGAUAUUGGGGUGUGACAUAGCGUAGGCCAUAUAGAUAAUGGGGUGUGACAUUGUGCAGACCGUAUAGAUAAUGGGGUGUGACAUUGUGCAGACCGUAUAGAUAAUGGGGUGUGACAAAGCGCAGGCCGUAUAGAUAAUGGGAUGUGACAUAGCGGAGGCUGUAUAGAUAAUGGGGUGUGACAUCACACAGACCAUAUAGAUAAUGGGAUGUGACAUAGCGGAGGCUGUAUAGAUAAUGGGAUGUGACAUCACACAGACCAUAUAGAUAAUGGGAUGUGACAUCACACAGACCAUAUAGAUAAUGGGAUGUGACAUCACACAGACCGUAUAGAUAAUGGGAGGUGCCAUAGAGCAGGCCAUAUAGAUAAUGGGAGGUGACAUAGAGCAGGCCAUAUAGAUAAUGGGAGGUGACAUAGCGCAGACUGUAUAGAUAAUGGGAGGUGCCAUAGAGCAGGCCGUAUAGAAAAUGGGGUGUGACAUAGUGCAGACCAUAUAGAUAAUGGGAUGUGACAAAGCAUAGGCCAUAUAGAUAAUGGGGUGUGACAUCGCACAGACCGUAUAGAUAAUGGGAGGUGCCAUAGAGCAGGUCAUAUAGAUAAUAGGGUGUGGCAAAGCGCAGACCAUAUAGAUAAUGGGGUGUGACAUAGCGCAGGCCAUAUAGAUAAUGGGGUGUGAAAUAGCGCAGGCCAUAUAGAUAAUGGGGUGUGAAAUAGCACAGACCGUAUAGAUAAUGGGGUGUGACAUAGCACAGACCGUAUAGAUAAUGGGAUGUGACAUAGCGGAGGCCGUAUAGAUAAUAGGGUGUAACAUAGCGCAGGUCAUGUGGAUAAUGGGGUGUGACAUCACACAGACCAUAUAGAUAAUGGGAGGUGACAUAGCGCAGACCGUAUAGAUAAUGGGAGGUGACAUAGCACAGACCGUAUACAUAAUGGGAGGUGACAUAGCGCAGACCGUAUAGAUAAUGGGAGGUGACAUAGCACAGACCAUAUUGAUAAUGGGAGGUGACAUAGCGCAGACCAUAUAGAUAAUGGGAGGUGACAUAGCGCAGACCGUAUAGAUAAUGGGAGGUGACAUAGCACAGAUCGUAUACAUAAUGGGAGGUGACAUAGCACAGACCGUAUAGAUAAUGGGAGGUGACAUAGCACAGACCAUAUAGAUAAUGGGAGAUGACAUAGCACAGACCAUAUAGAUAAUGAGAGGUGACAUAGCGCAGACCAUAUAGAUAAUGGGAGAUAACAUAGCACAGACCAUAUAGAUAAUGAGAGGUGACAUAGCGCAGACCGUAUAGAUAAUGAGAGGUGACAUAGCGCAGACCGUAUAGAUAAUGAGAGGUGACAUAACGCAGACCGUAUAGAUAAUGGGAGAUGACAUAGCGCAGAUCAUAUAGAUAAUGGGAGGUGACAUAGCGCAGACCGUAUAGAUAAUGGGAGAUGACAUAGCGCAGACCAUAUAGAUAAUGGGAGGUGACAUAGCGCAGACCAUAUAGAUAAGACAUAGCAUGAGACCGUAUAGAUAAUGGGAGGUGACAUAGCGCAGACCGUAUAGAUAAUGGGAGAUGACAUAGCGCAGACCGUAUAGAUAAUGGGAGAUGACAUAGCGCAGACCAUAUAGAUAAUGGGAGGUGACAUAGCGCAGACUGUAUCGAUAAUGGGAGGUGACAUAGCACAGACCAUAUAGAUAAUGGGAGGUGACAUAGCUCAGACCGUAUAGAUAAUGGGAGGUGACAUAGCGCAGACCAUAUAGAUAAUGGGAGGUGACAUAGCACAGAUAAUGGGAGGUGACAUAGCACAGACCGUAUAGAUAAUGGGAGGGAUGACAUAGCGCAGACUGUAUAGAUAAUGGGAGAUGACAUAGCGCAGACCGUAUAGAUAAUGGGAGAGAUAGAGACAUAGCGCAGACCGUAUAGAUAAUGGGAGGUGACAUAGCACAGACCAUAUAGAUAAUGGAAGAUGAUAUAGCACAGACCAUAUAGAUAAUGGGAGGUGACAUAGCGCAGACCAUAUUUAUAAUGGGAGGUGACAUGGCACAGACCAUAUAGAUAAUGGGAGGUGACAUAGCACAGACCGUAUAGAUAAUGGGAGGUGACAUAGCGCAGACCGUAUAGAUAAUGGGAGGUGACAUAGCGCAGACCGUAUAGAUAAUGGGAGAUGACAUAGCGCAGACCGUAUAGAUAAUGGGAGAUGACAUAGCGCAGAUCAUAUAGAUAAUGGGAGGUGACAUAGCGCAGACCGUAUAGAUAAUGGGAGGUGACAUAGCACAGACCAUAUAGAUAAUGGAAGAUGACAUAGCACAGACCGUAUAGAUAAUGGGAGGUGACAUAGCGCAGACCAUAU